UAACUACCCAGGACAAACCCACAACUGUCCCUCUCAAAGGAACAAAAGUAGCUGGUACUUCCUCAGAUUCCACACUGAACACAAUUGGCAACUCUACUGAGCUGGAAGGGCCUGGCAUUGAUACACACUUUGUCAUUACCGGCAUCGGCCUU